rnacentral:rRNA from 1 species
UGGGGAAUUUUGCACAAUGGGGGAAACCUUGAUGCAGCGACGCCGCGUGAUUUAGAAGGCCUUCGGGUUGUAAAAAUCUUUUGUAUGGGAAGAAAAUGACAGUACCAUACGAAUAAGGACCGGCUAAUUACGUGCCAGCAGCCGCGGUAAUACGUAAGGUCCGAGCGUUGUCCGGAAUCAUUGGGCGUAAAGGGUACGUAGGCGGAUAAGCAAGUUAGAAGUGAAAUCCUAUAGCUCAACUAUAGUAAGCUUUUAAAACUGCUCAUCUUGAGGUAUGGAAGGGAAAGUGGAAUUCCUAGUGUAGCGGUGAAAUGCGCAGAUAUUAGGAGGAAUACCGGUGGCGAAGGCGACUUUCUGGCCAUAAACUGACGCUGAGGUACGAAAGCGUGGGUAGCAAACAGG